AUUGAACGCUGGCGGAAUGCUUUACACAUGCAAGUCGAACGGCAGCACGGGGGCAGCCCUGGUGGCGAGUGGCGAACGGGUGAGUAAUACAUCGGAACGUGCCCGGUCGUGGGGGAUAACGUAGCGAAAGUUACGCUAAUACCGCAUACGAUCUGAGGAUGAAAGCGGGGGACCUUCGGGCCUCGCGCGAUCGGAGCGGCCGAUGUCAGAUUAGGUAGUUGGUGGGGUAAAGGCCUACCAAGCCGACGAUCUGUAGCUGGUCUGAGAGGACGACCAGCCACACUGGGACUGAGACACGGCCCAGACUCCUACGGGAGGCAGCAGUGGGGAAUUUUGGACAAUGGGCGCAAGCCUGAUCCAGCCAUGCCGCGUGCAGGACGAAGGCCUUCGGGUUGUAAACUGCUUUUGUACGGAACGAAAAGGCUCCGGCUAAUACCUGGGGCUCAUGACGGUACCGUAAGAAUAAGCACCGGCUAACUACGUG
rnacentral:rRNA from 1 species